AUGUGCACUAUGCUAACCUUAGUAGCAGAAGCAGGACUGAAAUUGAAGUUAAAUCAUCCGCAGCAAGAAUCUUUCAAGGAGGCCUCACAGGGACGGCCGCAGGCAGCCACGGCGCCCAGCCGGAAUGGCACGAUCCUGAAGCCACAUUCCAAGAGGACUGGCAGCGGCGUGUGGCCACGUGGUUCAAUCAGCCGGUCCAGAAGAUCCUCAGACCCAAGGCUGGGCGGGCCAUGAUCCGUCGCAUCGCCCAGCACCCCGCGUCGGGACCCGUCUGGCCCAUCCUCAGGUGCCCCACCCUGAGGUACCACACCUGAGUGAGAACCGGCAGGGGCUUUCAGCCUGGGGAAGCUGCGGAUGGCUGGCAUCCUCAAGAAGGUGGCCUGGACUGUCGGCAUCUCCGUGGACCCGAGAAGGCGCAACAAGUCCACCGAGUCCCUGCAGGCCAACGUGCAGCGGCUGAAGGGGUAUCGCUCCAAGCUCUUGCUCUUCCCCAGGAAGCCUUAGGCACCCAAGAAGGGAGACCGCUCAGCCGAAGAACUCAAGUUGGCCACCCAGCUAACCGGACAGGUCACGCCCAUUCGGAACAUCUACGAGAAGGAGAAAGCCAGAGUCAUCACUGAGGAGGAGAAGAACUUCAAGGCCUUUGCCAGCCUCCGCAUGGCCCGCGCCAACGCCAGGCUCUUUGGCCUUUGGGCAAAGAGGACCAAGGAGGCCGCAGAACAGGAUGUUGAGAAGAAAAAGUAAAGCCCUGUUGGGACUUG